UGAUUGUUGAGAUGAAGAGAUCAAGCUAUAUGAAAGAAGGAUAUCAAAGGCACCAGACUUGAGAAGUUAGGCACCAAACUUGAGACUGUUGCUAAGGCACCAGACUUGAGAAGUUAGGCACCAGACUUGAGACUGUUGCUACAGUACUCGGCCCAGAAAGGAAGAAGCCCAUGACAGCCUUUCUCAAGCUCUUAAAACCCUUGUAUCCUCUCUAUAUAAACUUUAUAAUCUCUUCAUUAAGAUUCAAGCAAGAUAAUAAAAAGUCUCUGGUCAUCUUUGAAUUCU